AAAUAAAUUAAUGCAGUGAGCUGAGAUCGCGCUACUGCGCUCUAGCCUGGGCGACAGAGGAGAUUCUGUCUCAAAAACAAAAUGAAAUUAAGACAGUCGGAAUAUAUUGGAUUACUUAUUGAAACUUUGAAAAUAUAUUUAUAAAACAGGCACUAUUUUAGAGCUCGUAUUUAGGAGAAAGAUUUAAACUUGGUUAUAGAAUUGUUUCCUAAAAAUUAUAUUUAGUGCUUUAUUUUGUAUGACUUUUUAGGGCUUCUGAUAGUCUUUGCAACCUCUACAGGCAAACUUAUUUCUCUAUUAUUUCUCUCUUCUCUAGUUUUUAUUUUCUUCUGCAGCUUUGGGUUUGGUUUGCUCUUUUUUCUCCUUCCCAAGGUGUCAACUUAGGUUAUUGAUUUAAAAGUUUUUUCUUUUUUACUGAAUGUAUUUACAGCUAUAAAUUUCCCUCUUAGCACUGCUUUCACUACAGUUUGACAUGUUGUGUUUUAAUUUUCACUUAUCUGUCAGUAUUUUCUCAUUUCCCUUGUGUUUUUGUUGUCCUCCUUGCAAACACCUACCUCCUUUCUAAGAGUCAGCCCACCCUUCACCUCCUGUCUGCAGCCUUGCCUCUUCCUGUCUUCUAACAAGGAAGUUGCCAGUCUCUGCCCUCCACCUCUUCUAUACUUUGUUGCACUUACCUUACAGAUCAGUCCUCCUAGACUAUUGCUUCCGACCAAUUAGAGUCACUAAUACCAGACUUGCCCUCCUGCCAUAAAAAAACUGGAACUGGACAGAAUUUACGAAAACAGCUGUUUUCCAGACAUUGGACUACAGGCAGCACACAACUGUCAUCCCUGAGAGAAGGCAAAUUUUAAAAGUCUACAGUUGCCCGGCUUUCCGCUGGGAGAUACUUCUGGACUGCAGCACAGGCAGGGGAACCCAAACAGCACAGUGGUCUUGCUGAGUGGAGAUGAGUUAAGACUACAAGGAGCCAAGGCAACUGGAAAUACAGGGCAGAGAACCAGAGGGCAGGGGUGGCUCAUAAGAGUCCGGAGGUCUGUCUCCUUGGGUCUUUUUCUGAAUUCUAAGCUAUGAGUAUAAGGUGAAACUAUGAGGCCAGGGAAAGAACAGCUUCUAGGUAGCUAUAAGCUUGCCCACAAAGUUAGCAGUGAUAAACAGAAAAUAUUUUAAAAUAAGUUAGACCUACUCAGCAUCGAACAUUCUGGAAAUGCAGAUUACCCUAAGGAAGCAAUAUUUAAAAUACUCAGUUGUAUCAACCAGAAUAAAAUAGUUCCAAAUAAAAAAGUAAUAAAAUAGUCAUCCUCUGCCUUUCUUUUUAACACAAGGCCAGAGGG